rnacentral:misc_RNA from 1 species
GAUGAAGAACGUAGCGAAAUGCGAUAAGUAAUGUGAAUUGCAGAAUUCAGUGUAUCAUCGAAUCUUUGAACGCACCUUGCACCCUUUGGCUAUUCCGAAGGGUAUGCCUGUUUGAGUAUCAUGAACACCUCAACUCUCAUGGUUUGCCAUGAUGAGCUUGGACUUUGGGGGUCUUGCUGGCCUGUGGUCAGCUCCUCUCAAAUGGAUUAGCUUGCCAGUGUUUGGUGGCAUCACAGGUGUGAUAACUAUCUACGCUUGUGGUUUUCCACCAGGUAACCUUCAGCAAUGGGGGUUCGCUGGGGCUCAUAAAUGUCUCUCCUCAGUGAGGACAGCUCUUUGAACGUUUGAUCUCAAAUCAGGUAGGACUACCCGCUGAACUUAAGCAUAUCAAUAAGCGGAGGA